CAUCCUUUAUUCAGCAGCAGGGAACUGAGAAAGAGGAAGAGAGAAGGGCUGAAAUGCUUCAUUAUCUCCCUGCUUAUAGAGCCAUUAGUAUUUGGAAUAUCAAACUACUUUGGAUUUUUUUUAAGGACAUACACAAGGAAUUUAUAGCACAAAGCAACAUAAUAGUCCCAUACUUUUUUACACUUCCAGACUAUGGAGGGGCAUGUGUGUGGUGCCCGUGCUUUGAAAGGAGUGCGGUGUUUCCUGCUUGAGAAAUGCAGGCAGGGAGGGUGAUGGCUUUGCCACAGCUUCUCCACUCACAUGCCCCUGGACAGCUCCGUGGGAGAUCACCAGGAAACAUCACUGGGAUCACAGCAGCACUGCCCAGCCAUUUCCAAGUUUCAGUGCUGAUCUUCCAGACAGUCAAAAUACUUUACAAAGCAGCCUUGAGCAUCAGCUCACACGCAUCUUGUUUUCUGGCAGGAAUAGAACACAAGGUGCCUGAGUCUGGGGCCCUCAGAUUGCUGAAGGAGUAGAGGCAGGCAGCAGAUGGUGAUCCUACUAAAGAAUAAGAUCUCUCUUAUGGAUCUUUGGACUUCCUUUAGAAAGUUUUCCCAUCUUUUAAGGAGAAGAGUGAAGGAGGUACCUUCUUUAGCACUGGAUCCAUAGAAUUUACCUUCAAAAUCCUACUCCUUUACUGUACUGCUUCAGGUGAAAUUUAUUCUAAGAGACUACAGUAGAAAAAGCCAGAAAAAGCCACAGCAAAAGCAGUAAGAAAUCAUGAGAAACAGUAUCUUCAGUCAAGGUGUGAAAGGAGAUGGUAUACUGAUGAAGAAAAAAUACAGAAAUGUUGUCUUACAUCCUGAGAGCUGCAGCAGUAACAUGCAAUGUGCAUAUGAAGUUCUCUGAGAUGUCUGAACUAGAUUCACUCAAGGAAGCUAAUACACAUCCAACAGCACAGGUCUCAGACGGGCUUUGAUUCAGGAAAGCGCUUGUCCUGACCUCACUGAUGAGAAGCUGGUGCUUAUAUAUUUACACUACAAUGAGGGUGAUUCUCCUGAAUAAGGCCAAGGGUAAGUGAACUUACAGCAUAUACAGAACUAGA